GGGUGUGAUCAUACUAGUGUUAGUGCAGUGCAUCCCAUCAGAACUCCGCAGCUAAGCACACUUGGGCCGGAGUAGUACUGGGAUGGGUGACCUCCUGAGAAGUCCUGGUGUUGCACCCU